rnacentral:rRNA from 1 species
UGGGGAAUAUUGCGCAAUGGGCGCAAGCCUGAUGCAGCCAUGCCGCGUGAAUGAUGAAGGCCUUAGGGUUGUAAAAUUCUUUCGCUAGGGAUGAUAAUGACAGUACCUAGUAAAGAAGCACCGGCUAACUUCGAGCCAGCAGCCGCGGUAAUACGAAGGGGGCUAGCGUUGUUCGGAAUUACUGGGCGUAAAGCGCACGUAGGCGGACUUUUAAGUCAGAUGUGAAAUCCCGAGGCUCAACCUCGGAACUGCAUUUGAAACUGGGAGUCUAGAGAUCAGGAGAGGUUAGCGGAAUACCGAGUGUAGAGGUGAAAUUCGUAGAUAUUCGGUGGAACACCAGUGGCGAAGGCGGCUAACUGGACUGAUACUGACGCUGAGGUGCGAAAGUGUGGGGAGCAAACAGGAUUAGAUACCCGGGUAGUCC